GCCAUACAGAGCUACCAUCCACCAACCCUGACCAGAGCAGCUGGCCUCUCUGGGAGACCAGCCACAAUGGAAUCUCUUCCCCUGCCUUUUGGAACAUUUCAUGCUGGGCUUUCAGCAGUAGCUUAUCUACUGGCUUCUGACUCCACUGGACUUCACUUCUGAUGUUUGCAUCCUGGCUACAUACCACAUGUCUCCUGAACCUACUAUGCUUAACCUGGACCAUCUGUUUAUUCUCUCUCCUUGGCUCACAAUAAGUGCAGGGACUGUGUUUCUCACAGUUACUUCUGCAGCCCAGCACAGUAUCUGUCACAAACAAUUGACUCUGGUGUAUUCAUAAUUGGUACAUCCAAGAUCCAGAGAACUGUGCAGUGCUGACAUGCUGGGAUUUAUCCAGCUAAAGAAAACACUCUGGCUGAAUCUAAAAUGAGCUGUGUUUGCAGACCUUGUCUGCCAG